AUGAUGGCCCAGUCAGAUCCAGUUGACGUACAUACUCAUCACCAUGAGGCUGAGACAGACAAAAGCAAAGAUGCAGACUCUGGACACAGUUGGUCUAGACAAUGUACCUGGAUAUUCAAGAGUGCUGGCUUUAGCACACUUUCUGGAAGAGGACUGUGUUCCCUCAGCGAUUCUCCACUGCACCUCUCGGACGUUUCUGUAGCUAAAGAAAGAAAGUUGCACCAGGAGUUCAAAGUAUUGAGAAGUUAUUCUUGGACCAAAUCAAGGUCCAGCAUAGUGAGUGGCCAAACUGAGAUCUAUCCAAGUGAUAGAAGGAGGAAGGGGGAGGAGGUUUUCACAAAAUGGUCACUCAUCCUGGAUGCAUAUCAUACCAUCAGGAAGACCAUUUUGAACAACCAUAGAGCCAUGUCAGUUACAGACAUCCAACUUCCUCUUUUAAACAGGAAGACUCUCCAACAGUGGUUCAAUGAGAAGAGAAAGGAUGAGGAGAAGAAAAUCCUAAUGCAGGGUCUUGCACUUCCUACACCAAAAAUGACAGUAGCCAAGGCACCAGAAGCCUUGCCGAAGCCAACAUCUUUGCCAGCAGGAAGCACAGACCCCUUCUCUUUUCAUGAUCCACCCUCUAAAAUUGGUAUGGCCAAACUCAAGAGCAGACCAAAGAACACUCCAAACGCACCAAUACCAGCUGUGGCACCUGUUUUUCCUUGCCCGACACCUUCUUGCGAUCCUGUCAUGAGCUUCCAAUUGAUCACAACUACAGAAGGCACUGCUUUGUUGAUUCCAAAUAUUCCACACUCCACAAAGCAGUACCAGAAACGAAAACAAGAGCUUUAG
rnacentral:sRNA from 1 species